rnacentral:misc_RNA from 1 species
GGCGCAUCUAACAAUGAGAGGAAAUGGAGGUUCACAGAUUAACAAUGAAAAUAGAGUGUCUUAUCAUAACUUAUUGAUUUAAAUAUUUUAACGAACAUGAGAUGUGGAAUGAGAUAGAAAUGGAGCGAGAUUGAACAAAGAACAAAAGAAAGGUGGCGAAAGAUGGAAAUGGAAGGAUAAUUAGAAGAGGAAGAUGGAGAGAGACAAGAAAAGGUGAGGGAGGGAAGGAGGAAACAAAAGAGAAAACGGAGAGAGACUAUAUUAUUAAUUUAUAAUUAUUAA